CCUACGGGAGGCAGCAGUGAGGAAUAUUGGUCAAUGGACGAGAGUCUGAACCAGCCAAGUAGCGUGAAGGAUGACUGCCCUAUGGGUUGUAAACCUCUUUUAUAAAGGAAUAAAACGAGGCACGUGUGCCUUUUCGCAUGUACUUUAUGAAUAAGGAUCGGCUAACUCCGUGCCAGCAGCCGCGGUAAUACGGAGGAUUCGAGCGUUAUCCGGAUUUAUUGGGUUUUAAGGGAGCGUAGAUGGGUUGUUAAGUCAGUUGAGAAAGUUUGCGGCUCAACCGUAAAAGUGCAAUUGAUACUGGCAGUCUUGAGUACAGUUGAGGUAGGCGGAAUUCGUGGUGUAGCGGUGAAAUGCUGAGAUAUCACGAAGAACCCCGAUUGCGAAGGCAGCUUACUAACCUGUGACUGACAUUGAUGCUCGAAAGUGUGGGUAUCGAACAGGAUUAGAUACCCUUGUAGUC
rnacentral:rRNA from 1 species